rnacentral:rRNA from 2 species
ACAAGUACAAGAGUAACUGCUUGUACCUUGACGGUACCUAACCAGAAAGCCACGGCUAACUACGUGCCAGCAGCCGCGGUAAUACGUAGGUGGCAAGCGUUAUCCGGAAUUAUUGGGCGUAAAGCGCGCGCAGGCGGUUUCUUAAGUCUGAUGUGAAAGCCCACGGCUCAACCGUGGAGGGUCAUUGGAAACUGGGGAACUUGAGUGCAGAAGAGAAAAGCGGAAUUCCACGUGUAGCGGUGAAAUGCGUAGAGAUGUGGAGGAACACCAGUGGCGAAGGCGGCUUUUUGGUCUGUAACUGACGCUGAGGCGCGAAAGCGUGGGGAGCAAACAGGAUUAGAUACCCUGGUAGUCCACGCCGUAAACGAUGAGUGCUAAGUGUUAGAGGGUUUCCGCCCUUUAGUGCUGCAGCUAACGCAUUAAGCACUCCGCCUGGGGAGUACGGUCGCAAGACUGAAACUCAAAGGAAUUGACGGGGGCCCGCACAAGCGGUGGAGCAUGUGGGUUUAAUUCGAAGCAACGCGAAGAACCUUACCAGGUCUUGACAUCCCUCUGACAACUUCUAGAGAUAGAGCGUUCCCCUUCGGGGGGACAGAGUGACAGGUGGUGCAUGGUUGUCGUCAGCUCGUGUCGUGAGAUGUUGGGUUAAGUCCCGCAACGAGCGCAACCCUUGAUCUUAGUUGCCAGCAUUUAGUUGGGCACUCUAAGGUGACUGCCGGUGACAAACCGGAGGAAGGUGGGGAUGACGUCAAAUCAUCAUGCCCCUUAUGACCUGGGCUACACACGUGCUACAAUGGAUGGUACAAAGGGCUGCAAGACCGCGAGGUCAAGCCAAUCCCAUAAAACCAUUCUCAGUUCGGAUUGUAGGCUGCAACUCGCCUACAUGAAGCUGGAAUCGCUAGUAAUCGCGGAUCAGCUUCUGAAUAUGGGGGGU